AACGUAGGAGACGAACGUUAUCCGGAGUUACUGGGCGUAAAGGGCGUGUAGGCGGUUUGUUAAGUCUGGCGUGAAAGCUCUCGGCUAAACCGGGAGAGGUCGUUGGAUACUGGCGAACUAGAGGAUGGUAGAGGCGUGUGGAAUUCCGGGUGUAGUGGUGAAAUGCGUAGAGAUCCGGAGGAACACCAGUGGCGAAGGCGGCAUCCUGGACCGGUAUUGACGCUGAGGCGCGAAAGCUAGGGGAGCAAACGGG
rnacentral:rRNA from 1 species